rnacentral:pre_miRNA from 1 species
GGGAGUAGUGCUGGAUCUUGGGGUGUGUCCCCAGCGCCUUGGGAUCUCGGGCCUGCGCUGCUGGAAUCGGGCUCCCGAGCCACACAGCCCCCU